CAAUGCUUAUCAUUUCAUGUCAGGCAAUAUAUUUUAAGGAUGGUGCAGACUAAAUAUGCUUCCAUCUUUUAAUAUUAAUAACUAAGGGAAUUAUCAUUUAUGCUACGAUGAUAUAAAAGAGGUCCUUAAGCCCCUCCCAAUAAAACCACAAGCACUUGUCUAGUGGCUUUCUAGGAAUAUAUAUAAUUUCAACAUGGAAAUCAUGGCUUCCCUCAAAGCUCACCACCAUCCCAACAUUGAUGUUGUUAGUACUACUCUUCUCCAAUCUUUGUUUUCCUGUAUUCAAUGUGGCAACAGCUUCAAAGAUUGAAUUCCAAGGGAGAGCUCUUCUUCAAUGGAAGGCCACCCUUAAGACACAAGAACUUCUUAACACCUGGACAACAAAGAUCAGUCCAUGCAAUUGGACUGGAAUCACUUGCAGAAAUGAUGGCCAUCUCAUGCCAACCAUCAUUAAGCUCCAACUGAGAGAUUUUUCACUAAAAGGGAAGCUGGAGACUCUCAACUUCACAGCUCUGCUAUCACUCAGAGUUCUCGACCUUAAUGGCAACCGUCUCCAUGGAUUUAUUCCUGCAGCCAUUUCAGUUCUCUCCAAGCUCAUCAUCCUUGAUCUUGCUAACAACGGUCUCACAGGCAUCAUCCCAUUAGAGCUUGGUAAUUUGACAAGGCUCAAGACCUUGUGGCUCGCUACAAAUCAGAUAAGUGGUUCCAUACCUCUUUCUUUUGGAAACUUGUUGAACCUGAAUCGGUUAGCCAUCUCCACAAAUUCAUUGGUUGGUUCCAUUCCUUUAGAGUUUGGAAACUUGACCAAACUCAAUAUUUUAUACUUAUGGAGCAAUAACUUCACUGGCUUCAUCCCUCCUGAGAUUGGAUAUAUGGUGAAUCUUAAGGAAUUUGAUAUCUCUGGCAACAAUAUAACAGGCUCCAUCCCUCCAAACAUAGGAAACUUGACUAAGCUUGAAACUUUUAAGUUAGAUAUUAAUAACAUAAAUGGCUUCAUUCCUUUUGAGAUCGGGAAUCUAGUGAAUUUGAAAAUAUUUGAUAUAUCUUACAAUCAAAUAACUGGUCCCAUCCCAUAUAGCACUAAAAACUUAACCAAGCUUGGAAGGUUUUACCUGCAUGACAAUAACAUAAAUGGCUCCAUUCAUGAGAUUGGGAAUCUAGUGAAUUUAGGAAAUUUUGACGUUUCUAAUAACCAAAUAAUUGAUUCUAUCCCACCUAGCAUUGGAAAUCUAACAAAUCUUGAAUUGCUUUACCUAUAUGGCAAUAACAUUAGUGGCUUCAUUCCUAGUGAGAUUGGGAACCUAAUAAACUUGAUAGUACUCCAAAUAUCUGACAAUCAAUUAAGUGGUCCCAUCCCACAUGGCAUUGGAAACUUGACCAGGCUUAAAAUCUUUACCUUAUAUAACAAUGAGAUAAAUGGCAAGAUUCCUCUUUCUCUUGGAAGUUUGAAAAGUCUUGACCAAUUAAUAUUACUUAACAAUAAUCUUUCUGGCUUAUUACCCAUUGAAAUGGCUAAUCUCACAAACUUAACUUAUCUUCAAUUAUCCAACAACAACCUUUUUGGUAAUCUACCACCAGAUCUAGCCAAAGGAGGUUUACUUCAAGCUCUUGGUUUGAGUGACAAUAAUUUCCAAGGUCCCAUUUCGAUCAGUUUGAAAAAUUCAACAAACUUAGUAAGGGUCCGGCUUGAUAAGAAUCAAUUCACAGGAGAUGUUUCUCAAAGCUUUGGAGUUCAUCCAUAUUUGGUUUAUAUUGAUUUAAGCUUUAACAAAUUGUCUGGCACUUUAUCACCAUUUUGGGGAGCAUGCCUCAACUUGACAAGCUUUAAAAUAUCAAGCAAUAGAAUCAGCGGACAAAUACCACGGGAAAUCGUUCAAUUGCCAAUGUUACAGAUGCUUGACAUCUCUUCCAACAAUUUAGUGGGAAAAAUUCCAAGGGGGUUGGGUAAGUCAUCUUAUAUGUUUCACUUGAACAUAAGCAAUAAUCAACUCAUAGGAGCCAUACCACCAGAAUUUGGGGAUCUAUCUUCAUUAGAAGUUCUAGAUUUGUCAAGCAAUAAUUUGAUUGGAGAAAUACCAAUACGGUUGGAGAAUUGCAUUAAAUUGAGCACACUCAAGUUGAGCAAUAAUCUACUGAAUGGCACCAUCCCUUCACAAUUUGGUAAUUUAAAUUUGCAUGAUGAUCUAGACUUAAGUGACAAUUUAUUCACGGGAGAAAUACCACCACAACUUAGCAAGCUAACGGAGUUGCAAGAGUUGAAUCUAUCACACAAUCAGUUGGUUGGACACAUUCCUUCUUCCUUUCUGUCAAUGAGAAGCUUAACAUUGUUGGAUUUAUCUUAUAAUUCUUUGGAAGGUCCGGUCCCAAAGAACCAUUUCUUUCAAACAGCUCCCAUUAAGUGGUUUACCCACAAUAAGGGCUUAUGUGGUCAAGUGCAAGGUUUGCCACUAUGUGCUCAAUCCCAGUCAACAAGUAGAGAUGAUGCAAAGAAACAACAUAAAGUCAAUAUCUUGAUUAUUGUUUUGGCACUUGGCACUUUAUUUAUCUUAUUUGUAAUAAGUGGAAUAUUCACAGUGCGUUGUUAUAAGAGAAAGAGAUCCAUUAUAAAUGACACAAGGGAAGAAUUUGAUGGCCAUUUCUUCUCUAUUUGGAGAGUCAAUCAAGGAAAGGAAGCAUACAAAGAGAUCAUUAGAGCGACAGAAAAUUUCAGUGAAAAGUAUCAGAUCGGUACCGGAGCAUCUAGCAUAGUAUACAAAGCAUCACUAUCAUCAGGAUUGACACUUGCUAUUAAGAAAAUUCAAGAAGAAGAAGCUCAAGUGAAUGAGCAAGCUUUCCAAAAUGAAAUACAAGCAUUAACUGAAAUUCGGCAUCGGAAUAUUGUGAGGUUUUAUGGUUUCUGCUCUACAAAUAAAUUCAACUUCCUUGCAUAUGAGUAUAUGGAGAGAGGAAGCUUGAGUGCCACUUUGAGAUCUGAAGAGAGGGCAAUGGACCUGGAUUGGAUCAAGAGAGUCAGCAUUAUACAAGACAUUGCUCAAGCUUUAUCAUAUUUGCAUCAUGAUUGUGCUCCACCUAUCAUUCAUCGAGACAUAACGAGCAACAACAUUCUUCUCAAUGAGGAGUACAAGGCUUGUAUUUCAGACUUUGGUAUUUCGAGAUUGUUAAAACCUAGCUCAUCACAUUGGAGUUUACUUGCAGGCACCUAUGGGUACAUGGCACCAGAGCUUGCCUAUGUAAUGAGAGUAACUGAAAAAUGUGAUGUAUAUAGUUUUGGGAUUGUAGCACUUGAAGUGAUACAUGGGACACAUCCUGGUGAUCUCCUAAGCAACUUUUCAUUGUGUAUGUUGGUGAAAGAUACCCUCGAUCCACGCCUUCCACUUCAUAUAGCUGAUCAAGUGAUCACAAACCAAGUGCUUUCAGUGAUUUUAGUAGCAAUGCAGUGCAUUAACAAUGAUCCACAGGCUCGCCCUACAAUGCAACAAGUAUCUCAAAGGUUGUCUUCUCCAAAGUUUUUGCCAGCAAUUGACAACUAUUCUUUUCAAGCACUUACACUUGAUCACCUCAUAAACUUUGUACAAGUGCAUAUUGAUGAUCAAGUGCAUGAAUAAUGGGAACUUAGGUACGAUUAAGUCUCAUUCCGCAGAAUGUCUUGAUUUGGCAAGUAUCAAGUUCCCAUGGAACUACAUCUUCUGAGUUCAGACAAUUACUAAAACUCCAACUACAACGGCUAGAACCCUCUUUCUAUCCACUUGGUCAGCAAGAUCACAAGGGAAUUGAUCAGAGGAAGAAACACACUUCAGUUGAAGUUGGUCAAGAGGUUAAUAAUGCAAGAGUCUUCUCAAUAUGGAACUUUGAUGGAAAAGAAGCAUCCAAAGAAAACAUAAAAUCAAGCAACAGAGAAUUUUAUUGAAAAAUACUGCUAUCUGUGUUGGAUCUAGUGCUACUGUCUACAAAUUGACAUUUGCAGUGAAGAAAAUUCAGAAAACACAAGACCAGGAAAAUGAGCAAAAGCUUUCACAAAUGAAAUUCAAACAUUAACUCAAAUGUAAAUUGUAAGGCUCAUUGGUUUCUGCUCAACUAUUGAGUUCAACUAUAUCAUAUACGUGUAUAUAGAGAUUAGAGAGAGCAAGUGUAGGUGCCACUCUUAGGCCGGAAGGAGGUUUUGAGUUAAAUUGGAUGUAGAAAGUGAACCUUGUCAGAGACAUUGAUUAAGCUUUAUCCUACUUGCAUCAUAAUAGUUCUCCACCCAUUUUUCACGGAGGCAUCACAAGCAAUGACAUUCAGAUUCUGCCAUUUCUAAAUGACUAUAACCUGAUUAAUCUCAUUGGAGAAUGCUGGCAGGUGCACUUGGAUACAUGGCGCCAGUAAUAUCCAUGGCCAUUCUUCAUUAA